rnacentral:rRNA from 1 species
UGGGGAAUAUUGCACAAUGGGCGCAAGCCUGAUGCAGCAACGCCGCGUGAGCGAAGAAGGUCUUCGGAUCGUAAAGCUCUGUCCUUGAGGAAGAAGGAAGUGACGGUACUCAAGGAGGAAGCCCCGGCUAACUACGUGCCAGCAGCCGCGGUAAUACGUAGGGGGCAAGCGUUAUCCGGAAUUAUUGGGCGUAAAGAGUACGUAGGUGGUUUUGUAAGCGCGGGGUGAAAGGCAGUGGCUUAACCAUUGUAAGCCUUGCGAACUGCAAGACUUGAGUGCAGGAGAGGAAAGCGGAAUUCCUAGUGUAGCGGUGAAAUGCUUAGAUAUUAGGAGGAACACCAGUGGCGAAGGCGGCUUUCUGGACUGUAACUGACACUGAGGUACGAAAGCGUGGGGAGCAAACAGG